rnacentral:rRNA from 1 species
UAGGGAAUCUUCGGCAAUGGGGGGAACCCUGACCGAGCAACGCCGCGUGAGUGAAGAAGGUUUGCGGAUCGUAAAGCUCUGUUGUUAAGGAAGAACGAGUGUGAGAAUGGAAAGUUCAUACUGUGACGGUACUUAACCAGAAAGGGACGGCGAACUACGUGCCAGCAGCCGCGGUAAUACGUAGGUCCCGAGCGUUGUCCGGAUUUAUUGGGCGUAAAGCGAGCGCAGGCGGUUAGAUAAGUCUGAAGUUAAAGGCAGUGGCUCAACCAUUGUAGGCUUUGGAAACUGUUUAACUUGAGUGCAGAAGGGGAGAGUGGAAUUCCAUGUGUAGCGGUGAAAUGCGUAGAUAUAUGGAGGAACACCGGUGGCGAAAGCGGCUCUCUGGUCUGUAACUGACGCUGAGGCUCGAAAGCGUGGGGAGCGAACAGG